rnacentral:misc_RNA from 1 species
CCGAGUUUACAACUCCCAAACCCCUGUGAACAUACCUAUACGUUGCCUCGGCGGAUCAGCCCGCGCCCCGUAAAAAGGGACGGCCCGCCCGAGGACCCCUAAACUCUGUUUUUAGUGGAACUUCUGAGUAAAACAAACAAAUAAAUCG